CUAAUUCCUUGUCGCAAAAGGUCACGACCCCAGCAUAAGGAACGCCACAAAUAGGAGCAGUUCGAUGUGAUUUUGGCUUCCAUAACAUCGGAAUUCCUGAAAUAUCUUUGCUUAAGAAUACGGGCCACGAAAGAAUCAGGAUGCUUGAUAAUCCUCCAUAUUUAUCGAGCCAAUCCACAAGGUUUCGAACUAGCCCUAUCGAGGUACAUAUCAUUCGGGUGCGGGCUAAUUGGGUUGAAGUAUUUUUUGGUAUAGAAAUUUCUAACUUUAGCCCUAAAUGUUCUGAUUUCGGGCUAGCCCAUCGAGCUAAUCAGACUCAAAAAUUUAUUUUAAAAAAUAUUUAAUAAAUUUUCAUUUGUGGUGUAUUUUUUUUUUAUCAUACAACACUAUAUUUGUGUUCAGUGGCAGAUCUACAUGGGAGCAAGGGGGUACAAACCCAAGAAAAAGUAUAAUAUAGUAUUAUAAUAAUUAUAUUAGUGCGUUAAAUGUUUAACAAUUUACAAUGAUUUGUUUUAUUAGUUUGUUAAGUUUAUGUUAUUUUUGUCUCAUUUUUGUUUCUAAUUAGAUAAGCUUUAAUAUUGAAUUUGAGUAAAUCAUUGGGUUAAAAUAAAUUGCGAACUAUUAAUAAUAAAAUUAGUUUAUUUAUUUAGAAGAUAAAACAAUCUCUAAAAAAAUAUACAUAAUAUCCAUCUAAUAUGUUGUUGAUAUAAAUAUGUAAAAAUUUGAAGGAUGAUAAUUAGUAUGAUUACGUCCAAAAGAAUUAAUAAGAAUAUAUUUUAUAGUUAGAGGGAGUAUAAUUAUAAAAAAAUAAACUAAACUAAUAUACUAAUUUACUAAUACUAACACUUUCAAUCUAAUAUACAUAUAGAGAGAGGUUCAAUAAAGAAUUCUAAAUAUUUAAAGAAUAGAAAACAAGUGAAAAAAAAAAAAACGAACAGAUCUAUAUAACUUUGAUGAACAAAUCAAUGUAGCUCAUGAACAACAUUUUGGCCUGAGUUCGAACCCUGCUGAUGGCGAAAUUUUUAUUAUUUUGACUAAAUACGUCCGUUCAUUAGUUAUGUUGAUAUGUUUGUAAAAUGUAUAGAUUUGUUAUUCUCUCGGUAAAUACGCCCGCGUACAAUACGUCCGUUCAUUCUCUCUCUCUCUCUCUCUAUAUAUAUAUAUGUCUGCGUACAAUACAUACACGAAAUUAAAUAUUUUCACUUAAUAUUUGUGUAUAAUUUUUGUCAUAAUAUAAUAUAUUAGAUUUAUUAAUUAUUAUAUUAUCGAUGUUCAUUUAUAUUAUAUAUUUCAUUAAAUUUUCAAUUUGAUUUGAUUGUCUCUGUAUUUUUUUUGUAUCACUUAAAUACAUUUAUAUAUUUUUAUAAUACUCCUAUUAUGUAUUACAAAUAUGUAUGAAUUAUCGGACGUGCGGAGCACGGGUAUAAUACUAGUAUCUUGGAAGGCACGGAUAUGAUUCCCAUCGCCAACCUUCCACCUAAUUCCUUGUCGCAAAAGGUCACGACCCCAGCAUAAAGAAUGCCACAAAUAGGAGCGGUUCGAUGUGAUUUUAGCUUCCAUAACAUCGAAAUUCCUAAAAUAUCUUUGCUUAAGAAUACGGGCCACGAAAGAAUCAAGAUGCUUGAUAAUCCUCCAUAUUUGUUUCGCCAGGAGAGCCUGAUUGAAAUUAGAAAUUUUCCUAAAGCCCAAACCUCCAACAGACUUCGGUUCACAAAGUUUCUUCCAUCCAGA
rnacentral:lncRNA from 1 species